rnacentral:lncRNA from 1 species
GAUUAACUAGGAAUGAGGGAUGUGGAAUGGUUACAGGUAUAGGGAGAAUUUGAAUUGCUAAAAUGCUUCAGCAUGGAAUAUUAACUGAAGAUUACAAUUCUGAGAUUCUCCUCUGAGAUCAAACAAUUGAAAGGUAUACUUAAAAUGGUGAGUACUUUCCUAUGUGAAUUAUAUGAAAACAAAAAUUUUACUGAAAAAAAAUCUGUUAAACCAUGAUACCUAAGAAAUGUAGAUACAACAAUAAUUUUACUUUAGUUCCAGUCAAGGACUCUAUAGGCACAAAUCACCUCACUUGCCAUUGUUCCACACACUCUAAAACAUGAAUACACAUGCAGAACUAUCAAUUCCUAACUUCAGGAAAGCAUUUAUGAUCAUGAAAGAAUCAUUACACAUAUGCAAAAAUGAAAUCACUUAACCUUUGAUUUUUCUACUUGUCAUCCAGAUAUCUGAACUGUUGACUUAUGUAUUUAAUUUAAUGUGUAUAAGUUACAUUUUAACUAACUAAUGAUUUCUUCUUGGACAUCAGCAGAAGCAGAGAUAAUUUAAUGUGAAAGGAAGAGUUGCAUUUUACCAGGAUGUCUACAAAAAUGACUGUAAUUCUGCUGCUACAGCUGAGUACUCACUUUGGUUCUUGAAGUUGUGCAAAGGUGCUGGUGUGGGAAAUGGAAUACAGCCAUUGAAUCAACUUAAAGAGAAUACUGGAGGAGUUCACACAGAGGAGGCAUGUGGUAACUGUUUUGAAAUCUUCAAAGUUCGUUUUUGUGGAUGGUAUAACUCAUUUACCAUUAAAUCUGAGAGCUAUCCAUUAUUGUCAAGAAAAGAUGUAGAGAAUCUUUACACUCAAUUGCUUGAUGUAGUGGUUUAUAAAUUGCCCCACACACAAAAUUUGAAAAUAUUACAAGAAUCUGCAAGUCAACUUUCUGAUUUUGUAGAGAAUAUAUACAGAGAUGUAGUUUUAACAAGAAACUAUGAGAAAACUACAAGAAUCAAAGUUUGGUAUUGUUCUUACAGAUGACAUUUGUCCCUGUGGUGAGCUGCUGGCCCCAAUUCUUCAGAAACUAUUUGUGUACACUCUCCAUUUCUCUCCUGGUUACACAUUAAAAAUUACAGUUGGAGACUUCUCUUUUCUCUUUCCUAUGUGCCCGUCUUAUUUUCAGAAUUAAGUGAUCAAAUGUCAUUCAUUGAGAGGGUAAAAAAUAUCUUUUAUGUGCUUUGUUUUGAUUUUUGGCUUGAAUUGUUUAAUACAAAAAAUAGAAUCAGUUUUACAGUGAGAUCCUGGGUGAGUUAUUUGUAGUAUAUAAUCCUAACUUUCCUGAGCCUUUUUGAAGGUGAUCUUACAAGAAUAUAAAGUCAGAGGAAUGUCUUUUAAUUAUGUCAUGUAAUAAAAAAAAAUCAUCAAUCAAACUCAGAGUACUAUAGAAAAAUGUACAUUGAAUUGUCAGAAACCUAUAGCCAUCACUUGUAUAAACGCACCAGGAAUGCGUAUACUCUACACAUAGAGCUCUAAGGACUUCUUUAGACAACUGUAUACAGAUUUUACCAUUGCACUAUUAAUUUUAUUUAUAUUUGAAAAAUAAAUUUAAACUUCACUAAAUGUCUUGAUGAACAUAGAGAGACUGAGGACUUACAUGUAUAUUUCUAGUACAACUAUACAUGUAACACUAAGAAAAUUGUUUCCCUUUAGUUCAAUUAGAUUUCUCAUUUAGAAGUUAUCUUGUCAUUUGCCUAAUGAAUUCCUUCUCAGUUGUAUGACAGUGAUUCCUUUACAUAUCAGGAGGCUCUUAAUUGUGUUUUCUAACACUUUCACAGUCCUUUCACUACAGGUUUGCAAUUCAUUCCCUGGAAUGCAAAUUAUUAGUCUCUUGUUUUAAACUAUUCAUCAAUUUAAAAAAAAAUGAUUGAAAAAGAAUUUAAUUUCAUAUUUCAAACUACUUCCAGUUUGAAAUGAUUUAUUUUGUUUUUACUUUUUUAUUGAUUUUUUGAAAAAAUAAGUGACAGUGGAAUGCAUUACAAUUCUUAUUACACUUAUACAGCACAAUUUUUCUUAUCUCUGGUUGUAUAUAAUGUAUGCUGACACUAAUUUGUGUCUUCACACAUGGACUUUGGAUAAUUAUCUCUAUCAAAUUCUACCAUCCUUGCUAAUCCCCUGCCCCCUCCCUUUCUCUCUCACUUCUCUACCCUAUCUUGAAUUCAUCUAUUCCUUCCAUGCUCCCCCUCCUUAUCCCACUAUGAGUCAGCCUCCUUAUAUCAGAGAAAACAUUUGGCAUUAGUCUUUUGGGGAUUGACUAACUUCACUUAGGAUUACUUUCUCCAACGCCAUGCAUUUACCUGCAAAUGCCAUGAUUUUAUUCUCUUUUAUUGCUGAGUAAAUUUCCAUUGUGUAUAUGUGCCACACUAUUUUUAUCCAUUCAUCCAUUGAAGGGCAUCUAGGUUGGCUCCACAGUUUAGCUAUUGUGAAUUGUGCUGCUAUAAACAUUGAUGUGGCUGUGUCCCUGUAGUAUGCUGUUUUUAAGUUCUUUGGGUACAGUCCGAGGUGAGGGAUAGUUGGGUCAAAUAGUGGUUCCCUUCCCAGAUUUCCAAGGAAUCUCCAUACUGCUUUCCAUACUGGCUGUACCAGUUUACAGUCCCACCAGCAAUGUAUGAGUGUACCUUUUUCCCCACAUCCAUGCCAACAUUUAUUGUUGGUUGUCCUAAUAAUAGCUGCCAUUCUGACUGGAGUGAGAUGAUAUCUUAGAGUAGUUCUGAUUUGUAUUUCUCUGAUUGCUAGAGAUGAUGAGCAUUUUUUCAUAUAUUUGUUGACUGAUUGUAAAUCCUCUUCUGAGAAGUGACUGUUCAUGUUCUUGGCCCAUUUGUUGAUUGAGUUGUUCAUUUUUUUAGGUGAUUAGCUUUUUGAAUUCUUUAUACAUCCUAGAGAUUAGUGCUUUAUCUGAUAUGUGAGGAGUGAAGAUUUGCUCCCAAAAUGUCUAUUCACCUCACAGAUUAUUUCUUUUGACGAGAAGAAAUUCUUAGUUUGAUUUCAUCCCAUUUAUUGAUCCUUGGUUUUAAUUCUUGUGCUAUAGGGGUCUCAUUAAGGAAGAUGGGGCCUAAUUCCAUAUGAUAAACAUUGGGGCCUGCUUUUUCUUCUAUUAGAUGCAGGGUCUGUGUUUUAAUUCCUAUGUCCUUGAUCCAUUUUGAGUUGAGUUUUGUUAAUGGUGAGAGCUAGGAGUUUAAUUUUAGUUUGUUUAAUAUGGAUUUCUAUUUGUUGAAGAGGUUAUCUUUUCUCCAAUGCAUGUUUUUGGCACUUUUUUUGAAUAUAAGAUAAUUGUAAUUUUAUGGGUUGGUCUCUGUGUCCUCUGUUCUGUAACAUUGGUCUACCAGUCUGUUUGGUGGAAAUCCCAUGCUCUUUUUGUUACUAUUGCUCUGUAGUACAGCCUUAUACCUAGUAUAGUGAUGCCACCUGCUUUACUCUUCUUGCUAAGAACUGUUUUAGCUAUUCUGAGUCUCUUAUUUUUCCAGAUAAAUUUCAUGAUUGCUUUUUCUAUUUCUAUGAGGAAUGCUAUGGGUUUUUUGAUCAGAAUUGCAUUAAAUCUGUGUAAUUAUUUGGUAGUAUGGUCAUUUUUAUAAUAUUAGUUAUGCCGAUCCAAGAGCAAGGUAGAUCUUUCUAACUUCUAAGGUCUUCUUCGAUUUUUCUCUUGAGGAUUCUGUAGUUUUCCUUGUAUAGAACUUUCACCUCUUUUGUUAAGUUGAUUCCCCAGUAUCUUUUUUUUUUUGAGGUUAUUGUGAAUGGCAUAGUUUUCCUCAUUUCCUUCUCAGAGGCUUUGUCAUUGAUAUAUAGAAAUGCCUUUGACUUAUGGGUAUUGAUUUUAUAUCCUGUCACUUUUCUGAAUUCAUUUACUAGUGCUAGAAAUUUUCUGGUUGAGCUUUUUGGGUCUUCUAUGUCUAGAAUUAUUUCAUCAGCAAAUAGUUCUAAUUUAAGUUCUUCCUUUCCUAUUCAUAUCCAUUUAAUUUCUUUUGUCUGUGUAAUUGCUCUGGUCAGUGUUUCAAAAACCAUGUUGAAUAGAAGUGGUGAAAGAGAGUAUUCCUUUCUUGUUCCAGUUUUAAGAGAGAAUGUCUUUAAUUUUUCUCCAUUUAGAAUGAUGUUGGCCUGAGGCUUAGCGUAGGUAGCCUUUACAAUUUUGAGAUAUCUUCCUGUUAUCCUUAGUUUUUCUAGUGUUCUGAACAUGAAAAGGAGUUGCAUAUUGUCAAAUACUUUUUCUGCAUCUACUUAGAUGAUCAUAUGAUUCUUAUCUUUGAGUUUUUGAUGUGAUUAAUUAUAUAUAUUGAUUUCUGAAUGUUGAACCAACCUUGCAUGUCUGAGAUGAAUCCCACUUGAUCAUGGUGCAUAAUCUUCUGAUAUGUUUUUGUAUUUGAUUUGUGAGAUUUUUAUUGAGAAUUUUUGCAUCUAUGUUUAUUAGAUAUAUUAGUCUGAAGGUUUCUUUCGUUGAUGUGUCUUUGCAUGGUUUGGGGAUUAGGGUGAUAUUGGCAAUAAUAGAAUGAGUUUGGAAGGAUUGCAGGACCCUAAAUGUAUAAAAUUACAACAGACCCACAACAAGGUACAUUACAAUGAAAACGCCUAGCAUACAGAUUAAGGAUUACAUUUUAAAGGACACAACAAAAAAGUAUCAGAUUACAUACAGGGGGAAACCAAUUCGGAUCUUAGAUGAUUUCUCAACCCACAUUCUCAAAGCUGGAAGUUGCUCAGUCAACAUAUAUCAAGCUCUGAAAGAAAAUGGAUGCCAAUCAAGAAUUUUAUAAUCAGCAAAACUAAACUUUAGAUUUGAAGAUAAAGUAAAAACCUUAUAAGAUAAGCAAUAAUUAAAAGAAUUCACAACUAGAAAGCCUGAACUACAUUCUCAAUAAAAUGGGAAAGAAAUUUAAAAAGUGAAAACCAGCAAAAGUAGGAACUACACCAAAAGGAAAGCCAAUCAAAAUUGAACAAAAGCUAAAUUGAAACUAGAAAUAAUCCAAAAUGAGUAAGAGUAUACAUCAUAUCUCAAUGAUAACACUGAAUGUUAAUGGAUUAGUUGAUUUUUAUAAGUUUGACAAAACAAAGGGAAAGAAUAGUCUUAUUAUGGAAUAAAUGUGGGUGCAAAAACUGAUUAUCCACUUGUAAAUAAAAUGCAAAUGGUUGGGAUGUGGCUAUAGCUAAGUGGUGUAGCACUUGCCUCCCACAUAUGAGGUAUGGGGUUCAAUCCUCAGCACUAUAUAAAAAUAAAUACAAAAAUAUUUUUUCCAUGGCUGGGAUUGAGGCUCAGUGGUAGCAUACUCAUCUGGCAUGUAGGAGGCACUGGGUUUGAGCCUCAGCACCACAUCAAGAUAAAUUUUAAAAAAAGGUAUUGUGUCCAUCUACAAUUAAAAAAUGUUUUUUUUAAAAGCUAUUGUGUCCAUCUACAACUAAAAAAUAUUUUUAAAUAUAUUUCCUUCUUCAACCUAUGCCAUGUAUAAAUAUUAAAUAAGGUAGUUCAGAAAUUUACAUGAGAGAGGUUUUAGUAUAUAAGUGAAUAACAAAAAUGUAUGAAUAUUUAUGACCUUGAGGAUGGUAACAGAUUCUUAUUUAGGGUACAAAUGCAUGGAAAAAUUAUAAUGGAAUAAUUGAACUUCAUCAAACUUAAAACAUAUCCUACAUGAAAGAACACUAUCAGUAAAAUCAAGAGAAAAAAUUACAAAUAUUUGCAAAUCACAUAUAAAUGUUAAUGGAAUUAUAGAAGGACUCUAUAAAAAAGAUAGGAACCAACUAAUAAGAAUAACACCAAAUAACAAAAGAUCUUAAAAGUCAUAAAAGAUCUUAAUAGACAUAAUUGCAAGAAAAAUAUGCAAAUGGCCAAUGGACAACUGAAAAAAUAAUUUUACAAAUAUGGAAAGGAAAUUCAGAACAAAACCAUAUUGAGGUAUCUCACUAUAUCACCAAUGAUGUUGUUAUAAUAAAAAUAAUAAUGCAGUGCUAGCAAUGAUUGAGAUAUUAAUAUUCUCAAGCAAUGCUUCUUAGAUUAGAAAAUUGCUUCAGUAAAUAGAGUUAAGAUUUAUCCAGGUCCUCAAUGUUAAAUAGAGUUUUUGUAAGACCUAGAAAUUUUAUUUUUACUUAUAUGCCAAAUAGAAAUAAAAAUAUCCAAAUAAAACUAGUACAUAAACAUUAAUGAUUAAGAUUAUUCCUAGUAGCCAAAGUUGGGAAAAACUAGUGUGCAAAAAACUUAGGAAUGAAUUAAAAAAUGUGACCAAUUUUACACCCUAUCUGCCUUUGAUAGGGAACACACAAAUAUUAAGAAUGGGCACAAGAGGUUAAGGUAAUAAUUUUAUAAAGUAGAACCACUUGUUAUGGGCCAGGCUAUAUGGGCAAUGACCAAAUAGACUGCAUUUUACACUGAGACUCCAUAUCAAGUAAGAAAUACUUCUCCCAUGAGAAAGUCCUACUUUUGUACCUAUUAAUAGUUACCUAACAUAAUAUACUUGGCAACACAAAAUAGCAAUAUAUAGUCAAUACACAAUGUAAAAUUGUGCUCUUUGGUUUUCAUUUUUCUUGGCAAUGUACCUUGUCAGAGCUUGAUUGCCUACACAUUAGUAACAAUUCUCUAACUUGUACUGAACUAGGGUCAUUUUAAUCCACUUUCCUUCUGCUUUCUUACUGCUAUGUCAACUGAAAAAUCUCAUGGGAAAUACUAAUGUACCCAUUGCACUGUCUCACUAACUGCCCAAUUCAGCUUCUGUACAUGCUUGCUUGCAGCUAUGUCAACCCAGAUAUGGUUUUUGUGGUUUUUGUCUUUAAAUAUCCUAUAAUUCUCAGGCUUGGGGCUGUUCCUUUCAGAGACACUUAUGAGUCCUGUGGGGAACAGUCACUAGCUGGGCAGCCGAAUAAAGACUCUUCAAUUUGAACAAAACUGGGACUUGGUGUGUUUUUUGAGUGACCUGUGACCUGCCAAACAACACACUGAGCUGACUUACACAGGCUUUAUUUUUAUAUAAAAAUAUUACUGCAGCCCUACCUGAUUUAAGUCAAAAGAUUUUGUUACACUUCUUAGCAAAGAAGCUGUUAUCUGCCACAGAAAUGCAGACCCAAAAUGCCAAUAAAAAUACAAGGUACCCUGAGGAGAGGGAGAGGAGGAAUUUUAUGACCCUUACAAAGACCUCCUUACAAAACAGGGAUAUAAGGAUAAAUAACCUUUCACCUUAAAAAUCUGUUUACCAAUUAGAACAGGUCAGCAUGGUACAAAGUGACCUAGAAGUUCCCUGGAAGUUACCAUGCACAGUGGGAAUUUAAAGACUGGAUGGUAGCCUGCUGUUUUUCAAAAGUCAAAGGAACACCUGUGAAGACCUUCUGGAAAACUCCCUGGGUCCUCCCAAAAAAAAACUGGAGAGAAGGAAGGGCAUGUCUUUCUCCUGAGUGAAACACUCAUUCUCUCAAAGUGUCCCCUUUUCCCUUAUCCUGUCCCUUCAAUAAACUUAUGCCUGCUUCUCUUAGCAAUGUGUCUGAAAUACCUAAUCAGAGGAGAAACCAAGUCAUGUUAAAUACCAAAAAUAAACAAAAAAAGGCUGGGAAUCCAAAUCAUGUCUUAAUAAUAACCCUGAAUGUUAAUGGCCUAAAGUCACCAAUCAAAAGACAUGGACUAGCAGAUUGGAUCAAAAAAGAGACCCAACAAUAUGUUGCCUCCAAGAGACUCUUCUCAUAGGAAAAGACAUCCACAGGCUGAAGGUGAAGGGUUGGGAAAAGUCAUACCACUUACAUCGACUUUGGAAACAAGCAGGGGUUUUCAUCCUCAUAUCAAAUAAAUAAGACUCCAAGGUCAAGUUAAUAAAAAGGUAUAAAGAAGGACACUACAUACACCAACAAGACUUAACAAUUAUAAAUAUAUAUGCCCCAAACAAUGGAGCAUCUACGUUCAUCAAACAAACUCUUCUAAAGUUCAAGAGUCAAAUAGACCACAGCACAAUAAUUUUGGGUAACUUUAACACAUCCCUUUCCCCACUGGAUAGAUCUUCAAAAAAAAAAAAAAAAGCUGAACAAAUAAACUAUAGAACUCAAUAAUACAAUCAAUAACUUAGACUUAACUGACAUAUAUAGAAUAUUUCAUCCUUCUACAAGCGAGUACACUUUCUUUUCAGCAGCACAAGGGGCCUUCUCUAAAAUUGACCAUAUAUUGUGCCACAAAGCAACUCUUAAAAAUAUAGAGAUACCACCCUGCAUUCUAUAAGAUCAAAAAUCAGGAUGAGAAAGGAUUUCCAUGGCUGCCUUAGAUCACUGACAUAACUAAUGCCCUGUCAUAGCAUAAAGGAAUGAAGGCCUGACACAUACUACAACAUUGAUGAACCUUCAAGACAUAAUUGUAUGUAUUAAUAUCAAUCACCAAAACCCAUAACAAUUAUUUAAAAGUGUUGAAAUCAAUCACUAAAUCCAAUAUAUUAUAUAACAAUUACUUGAAGUGUCUCCAUAAUAAACAUAUCUAUAGAGAGAUGAAAUUGAUUAGAUAUUACCUAGUAAUGAGGCAUAUAGGAUGAUCAGAGGUACUAGGAGGGUUUGGAUUUAAAACAUUUCCACAUUGAAUAUUAAUGGAGGUUUCCAAUUCUGAGAUUCUUUUCUGAGAUUGAACAACUAAUAUAUACAUUUAAAAUGGUGGUUUGUAUACUAUAUGAAUUAUAUUCAAACAAUUAGUUUACUGCAAAAAUAUUUUAGAAGAUACCUAAAAAAUGUUUUUUCAACUGUAUAUUUAGUUUAGUUGCAGUCAAGAAAUCUAUAAGCAAAAGUCACCUCAUUUGCCAUUGUUCCAUCCAUAUUCUAAAAAUCUGAACAUAAGAGAGGUGAUCACACAUGCAGGAUCAUAAAUUCUUAACUGUAGGAAAGCAUUUAUAAUCAUGAAAGAGUCAUUAAAACACACAAGCAUGAAGUCACCUAACCUUUGAUUUUUCAACUUGGAAUCUAGAUAUUCUAAAUGUUCACUGUGUAUUUACUUUGAUGGAUACAAGUUACCUUUUAACCAAAUACUGAUUUUUUUUUCCUUAGAUAGCAACAAGAAUAGAGGGAAUUCAAUGUGAAAGGAAGCCUUGCAUUUCACCAGGAUGUCUACGAAAAUGACUGCAGUUCUGCUCCUGUUACUGCUGAGUAUUCACUUUGGUUCUGCAAGUUGUGGAAAGGUGCUGGUGUGGGCAAUGGAAUACAACCAUUGGAUCAAUAUAAAGACAAUAUGGGAGGAGCUCCCACAGAGGGGGGCAUGAGGUGACUGUUUUGAAACCUUCAGGUUCCAUUUUUGUGGAUGGUUACAAAUCAUCUGCAAUUAAAUUUGAGAGCUAUCCUUCAUCAUUGUAAAGAGGAGAUAUAGAGAUUUUUCUUCUCAAUCACUAAAUGCAUUGAUUUAUGAGAUGCAAUAAAAGAUAUUUUGGAAAUAUUAUUUAAAAUUUCAUGAAAUUUUGAGUCAAUAUUCUGAUUAUGUAGAGAAUGUAUGUAGAGAUGCAGUUUUGAACAAGAAACUUAUGACAAAACUACAAGAGUCAAGGUUUGAUGUCAUUCUUUCAGAUGCCAUUUGUCCCUGUGGUGAGCUGCUGGCUGAAAUUCUUCAAAAACCAUUUGUGUACACUCUCUGUUUCUCUCCUGGUUACAUAGUGGAAAAGUGUACUGGGGGACUUCUCUUUUUUUCUUCCCAUGUGCCUAUAAUAUUUUCAGGAUUAAGUGAUGAAAUGACAUUCAAUGAAAUGAAAGAUACUCUGCAAUUCAUUAUUUUGAUUUUUGGUUUGAAUCAUUUAAUUUGAAGAGAUGGAAUCAGUUUUACAGUGAAAUAUUAGGUAAGUGACUUGUACCAUAAGGUCCUAACUUUUCUGGACCUUUAUAAAGGUGAAAUUAUAACAAUAGAAAAUCAGAAAAUUAUUUUAGUAGUUUCAAGUAAUAAAAUAAAAUCAUCUAUCAAGCUCAG